AUGUUAUUGUAAGGAAGCAGUACUAAUAAAGAAAAAAAACCUGUUAUCAGUUUAAUAUCUGAUACGCGCUCUAUAUGAGGGCCCUGUACUAACCAGAUUUUUAGAACUGGGAGCUGGAAAAGGGGCUUGCUCCGUCCGCUCCACGCAUCGGCCUGGUAUUGCAGUACUUCCAAGCUUAGUGCACCGUUU